rnacentral:tRNA from 1 species
GGUGGGUUAGCUCAGUGGUUAGAGCUUAGGCCUUGUGACCGGAAGGUCCCGGGUUCGAAUCUCGCCAGAGGCAUUA